CCUACGGGCGACAGCAGUGAGGAAUAUUGCACAAUGGAGGAAACCCUGAAGCAGCAACGCCGCGUGAAUGAAGAAGUAUUUCUGUAUGUAAAGCUCUAUCAGUAGGGGAGAAAAAAGACGGUACCGGACUAAGAAGCCCCGGCUAACUACGUGCCAUCAGCCGCGGUAAUACGUAGGGGGCAAGCGUUAUCCGGAUUUACUGGGUGUAAAGGGAGCGUAGACGGCUGUGCAAGUCUGAAGUGAAAGCCCGUGGCUCAACAGCGGAACUGCUUUGGAAACUGUAUAGCUUGAGUACUGGAGAGGCAGGCGGAAUGCCUAGUGUAGCGGUGAAAUGCGUAGAGAUUAGGAGGAACACCAGUGGCGAAGGCGGCCUGCUGGACAGAAACUGACGUUGAGGCUCGAAAGCGUGGGGAGCAAACAGGAUUAGAUACCCUUGUAGUC
rnacentral:rRNA from 1 species